CAGCAAUAUUCAGUUUCCAGAAUCAGCAGCUCCGGCAGCAGUGUCCUGUGCUGAUGGUGUUGGCAGGAGCUUCUUGACCCUGGGAGCAGAUUCAAUGUCACCUGGAGGAACAUUUCGUCCUCUACAUUUGCAUGGGAGAAUAACAUUUUUAAAGAAAAAUCAGGAGAGAUUGGCGUGCUGCCUUCUAGUGCAUAAUCCCAGGGUCAGUGAGAACUCCUAGCAUCUGACAAGUCAUAAAUCACACUCAUCUCUUCCUUACAUUCCCCUCUCUGUCUCUUGCUACUUUGGCUCAGGUCAAAUCAGUUCAAGAAACAUGUGUUGGACACUUAUAAUGUAUGAUGACUGCUCUUAUUUUCUGUGAAUAAAG
rnacentral:lncRNA from 10 species